AUUGAACGCUGGCGGCAUGCCUAACACAUGCAAGUCGAGCGGAUGAAGGGAGCGUGCGCCUGGAUGCAGCGGCGGACGGGUGAGUAAUGCCUAGGAGUCUGCCUUAUAUUGGGGGAUAACAUCCGGAAAGGGGCGCUAAUACCGCAUACGUCCUGAGAGAGAAAGUGGUGGAUCUUUGGACCUCGCGCGAUCAGAUGAGCCUACGUCGUAUUAGCUAGUUGGUGAGGUAAAGGCGUACCAAGGCGACGAUCCGUAACUGGUCUGAGAGGAUGAUCAGUCACACUGGAACUGAGACACGGUCCAGAUUCCUACGGGAGGCAGCAGUGGGGAAUCUUGGACAAUGGGCGAAAGCCUGAUGCAGCAACGCCGCGUGUGUGAAGAAGGUCUUCGGAUUGUAAAGCACUUUAAGUUGGGAGGAAGGGCAGUAAGUUAAUACAUUGCUGUUUUGACGUUACCAACAGAAUAAGCACCGGCUAACUUCGUG
rnacentral:rRNA from 1 species